rnacentral:lncRNA from 1 species
CAUUUGAUGUGUGUAGCCCAUAUGAUGUGCUAAUCAAGGAGUUGUCUCUACUUUGUUAUCUUUAUCGAUGAUCAGUCAAGGUAUGGGUAAGUAUAUGAGAUACAAAUCUGAAAUUUUAAAAGGAUCAAAGAAUUCACAUAUAAAAUAGAGAAGCAAAUUAAAAAAUUUUUAAAGAUACUUUGAUCGGAUCGAGGAUGCAAUACCAAUAGAUUUUUUUUUUUGAUUAUCUCAUAAAAUGGCAUAGUUUCAUAUUGGACCCCUCUUAGUACAUCUCAACUCAACAAGAUAAGAAGAGUCAUGAGACUAUAUACGAUAUGGUCUGGUCCAUAAUGAACUUCACUGGUUUAUUUAUGUUUCUUUAGAGACAUGCUUUAUUUCUAAGAAUUUGGGUCCGCUCUAAACCUGUUCCUACCACACCAUAUGAGAUAUGACUUAGUGAGAACUGAAUCUUAGUUAUUUUGAGAUUCAAAGAUGUCUAGCCUAUGUCUAGGAUAGUAGGUGGAUAUGUUAGAGGAUAGGUCCAUAAAGCUCAUCCUAAAAGAGUUUGAGAUACUACCUUCUGAAAGGAUUACAAUAUGAUUGUGACCCGACAUGCUAUCUUCUUAGAAAAUUGUUUAACCAAAAUGAAGAAGUGGGAGGAAAGUUAAGCUCUAAGAGAGUAUCUCUGAAGAGCAACGAACCACAGGACUUUAAGAACCUAUUCAUCAUGAGCCAGUAGACAUAUAUUCCUCCUCCACCUUGUACACAUAGUAGGAUCUCCAAUCCUCUCGAAAGGUAUUUAUGUAUGCUUAACAGAGGAUAUAGAGAAAGUCAUUUCUCAUGAGAGAUGGAGAACAUAAAGAUGAUCCCAAAACCUACAACGAGACGAUGUGAGAUAUUGACUUUAAGAAAGAGAUGUAAAAUAGCUUUCCUAAGAAG